rnacentral:lncRNA from 1 species
UCCAACUAACCAUGUAUGUAUGUAUAUACGUGUAUAUAUAUAUAUAAUCAGCUUUGUGACCUGAUUGGGACUGACAUGGUGAAGGUAGCCAAGCAUCUAAAUCCCAAUGGCUCCUAAUACAGAGAUAUACUGUUGGUAAAGUCCCCACAAAGGACGAUCGCUUCAGCAACCAAGUACCAAUCAUCACGUGCACUGCACGUGAAACUCUGCAAAUCCAUUUCACGCCAAAUCAGUUGAGCCCCCCACCCACCCACCCACUUCUUGCCUUUUCACAUGAACUGCAAUGCAAUGUAUGCAUUUAUAUACCCAUAUAUAUCAAAUAUUUUUAUUUACUUAAUCCAACAAAACAAUUAUUUAAUUCCAAUUUCGAAAUUUAAUAAAAUUUCUGUAAUUUUUCCUACGUAUUGAAAUGCAUUGAUGGGAGGUGGAUUUUUGUGAAAAAGUAUAUGAAGUGUCCUUCGUUCGAAACUAAUGAUCCCUCAAUAGGUUGUUAUUGUCCUUGAAUCAAGUCAAUAUUUUAUCCCCUGACUUUGUCCAGAGCGCGAGUCGAAAGCGAGAUUCAUAGAGCAGAAACUCCUUAUCAGAUUAGGCUGUGCAUGAUGUACGAUCACCUACCAAGGAAAUGGUGGCAAUUAUCUAAUUAUAAUUUCGAAAAUUAAUAAAAAUAUUUGUAAUUUUUUACAAAUUGAAAUGCAUUGAUGGGAGGCCGACUCUUUUCGAAAAUUUUUUGAAGUGUUGUUCGUUCAAAGCUAAUAAAUCCAUUGGUAUUAUCCUUGAAUCGAGCUAGAGUUUUAUCUCCUUACCCUGUCGAGAGCUCGAGCCUAAAAUAGGGUUCAUAGAGUGACAACACCUUAUUGGAUCAGGCGGUACAUGAUGCACAAUCACCUAUCAAGAGAAAAUAGGCGUUGUGCAAUUGGUAGGGCUCACCAUUUCCUUGGUAGGUGAUCGUGCAUCAUGUACCGCCUGAUCCAAUACGGUGUUUCUGUUUUAUGAAACCCGCUUUUGAGUCGGGUUUUCGAUAGAGUCGGGAGAUAAAAUUUUGACUCGAUUUAAGGACAAUACCAACCCGUUGGGGGAUUUGUCAGCUUUCAAGAAACCAUGCUUCAAAGGUUUCUUUGGAAAAAAUCAGUCUCCCCUAGACAAAAUGUUUUCCCACUAGUAUGAUUGGGUUGGAUUCCCUUACUUUUCCAUCCUCCAUUAACAUUAUUUAACAGUAGGCGGCCAUGGCCGAAGGCUUAGGUAGUUUGGCAGAGAAAGGGGUAGGGCCAAUGGCAGGGACCAUCAUAAUAAAAGAUGGAAAAUUAGAAGUGUUUAGGGACCCUACAAAGAUGGAGAAUGGGGAGCUAAGGGAUUUGCUGCACUCCUUGCAAGAAGCAGUAUGUGAAACGUUGCUUUCAACCUUUUAUCCAAAAGAAAUAUAAAUAUAAACUUAUAUAUAUAUAUAUAAAAUUAUUGGUUUUUAGAAUGAAAAAAAAUAUUUUCUAAAACAUGUGAUGAAAUUUCGAUAAGCUAUUUUCUUUUAUGUUUUUUUAUCGAACAAUAAUUUAAGAUGAUUAUUUAAUUUUAAUUUAUAUUUCUUUAAAAAAAAGAAAUUUUGAGCUUAUAAAAUCUUGGGUAAAUUACACUCAAGAUCACUAAAUUAUUAAUAAAUUUACAUUUUUGGUCAUUUGAUUUUAAAAAGUUAUAAAAUAGUCACUGAACCAUUCGAAAGUUAUUAUUUAAGUCAUUGGGUUGUUAAGUUUUUUUUUAUUUAAAGUUUGGCUAAUAAGCUCCAAGCGACGAUUUAACAAUCGAUAUAGUGGAUUAGUAUCCAUCAACUAGCACAAGAAAAUACUUUAAAUCCAAGUCUAUCUAAUAAUCAGUAUCGGAGAUCAAAAAAGAAAACUAUUUAAAUAUUAGUUUGCAACAUUUAAAUUGUUUCAUGAAAAAAAAAACUAUAGAAGAGAAAGGGAAAAAUAACUUUUGGUUGGUGCAGGUAGUGCAAACGGAUAAGGUCAUACAAUAACGAUUUUAACAGUCUAGUGACUUAAAUGAAAACUUUUAAAUAGUUUAGUGAUCAUUUUGUCACAUUUUGAAGUUGAAUGAUCAUAACGUAAAUUUACUAAUAAUUUAAUGAUUUGGACGUAGUUUACCUAAUAUUUUGAUAUAUUCUUGGCAUUUUCUUCUCUUUGUCCAGUGAACAAAUUAUUUGGGAGUGCCCACGCUGCCAGCUAUUUUUAAGGUUUUUCUUUUCAACAGAAACGAUUUAUAAAAUUAUUAUACACACAGCUCUUUAUCAUCUUUUUUGUCUAUAAAAGUAAAAUAAUUUCUUUUUUAAAAAAAUGCACCUUAGGUGAAGGAAAGUAAUUGGUAUAUGUCAAAUUUGCAACAAUUAUAGGAUGGGGGAGUGAAUUAUAUAUGUUCAUGAUUUUUUGUAAUGAGUAACCUAAAAGUAGUAUGGAGGUUUUGUAUUAGGAAUUAGAUUGUAUUUUAUUUAUUUUACUUAAAAAAUGAAAAAAGUAGUUUUUGUAUGUUAAAUCAAAGAAUAAAUUGGAUUUUUUUUUUUGUAAAAAAUUUCACCAAUUUAUACUGCUAAAAACUGGUGUGGCUAACGGAAUAACCAAACAAUGACACAUGACGUGCAACAUGUAUCUCAUGUUAAUGUACAGGGACGAGUUUUUAACAAUAGAAAUGGAUGAAAAUUUUAACAGAAUGACUAAUUUACUCUUUAAUCUAACAUAUAAAGACUAAUUAGCUCAUUUUUUUGAGUAGAAGGAGUAAAAUACAAUCCGGCUCCUAAUACAAAGGUCUUCAUGAUACUUUUACCAGUUAGAGAAUGGUCUUCAAGGAAGGUGAUUUAUUUAGAUUGUUGAGGUGAUUUUUUAUUUCUCAGGGAAAAAUCUUUGAAAUCUUGUCUUGUGAAAGGUCGAUGGAAUCUCUCAACAUGUCAGGAAUUGGGUUUAGGGUUAAGAUUGAAUAUAAACACUUCAAGCUCAAUAUUGGACCUAUUAAGGUGAUCCAUCGACGUUCAGAGAACGACACUUGCAAACUUGUUGUGACUUUGCAUAGUGGGUGAAUGUGCUCCCUCUCUAUUAAUUUGGUACAAAUCUCGGUGGAGGCAAGGGACAAAGUCCAAGGUUAAAAUUAAACAUAGACACCUCGUGCUUAAUACAUGAUUUGUUGAGAAGGGUCCAUCGACUCUUUGCGAAUGACAUUUCAAAGACUUCAUUUGAAGAGGUCAAAAAUUUCUUCAACAGAGAUUUUUCUUUCAGCUCUUCUAAGUGAAAAAUUUAUCCUUAAAAAAUGUUCUCCGAUGUUUUAAUCAGCAUGAUAAUGAAGGGAAAGUAAAUUGUAAAACCCCCUCUUAUUUUAUGGACAAAUUAUG